GAUAGUGUUUGCUUAUUUAGAUUUAUAUAAUUGAUUUUUAAUCAAUAGGUCCGCGGUUGGAAUCCGUGCGGGGGCACCA
rnacentral:tRNA from 1 species